UCUCUCUCUCUCUCCUCUCUCUCCUCUCUCUCUUCUCUCUCUCUCUCUCUCUCUCUCUCUCUCUCUCUCUCCUCUCUCUCUGUGUCUCCUCAGCAGGAACAUUUGAAGUGAACGUGACUCAGAGCUUCUAUCAGGCAGAGGAGAACCAGAACGUCACUCUGGAGUGGACCUUCACACCCCAAGAUGACCCCUCACUUCACUCUCUUGAUAUCUUAUGUUCUAUGUACACUGAUCACAAAGUCUGUGAGCUGUUUAAACUGAUCGGAGGAGUCGAGGUCUCAGAGUCUCAGGAUGAACAGUUUGCAGGACGAGUCCACUGGGACAAAGACGUCCUCAAAGAAGGACGACUCAGACUUCACGUGUCCUCGUUGAGGACUGAAGACUCGGGGCUAUACGUGUGUAAAUGGAGGUUAAAGUCUGAUGUGGUCGAUGGUAGAAUCCGUCUUAAUGUGACCGCAGCUGCUCAUGAGCCCCAAACUCAGAGACCAACAGUGAGACCAGGAGCAGAGAGUCCGGGAAGACCUGGUCUCUACAUUGGACUGUUACUGGUCCUGACAGCAUCAGCUGGACUGUCUGUCUGUGUCUUUAAAAAAAUGUGUCAAUAAAUCUGCUGAUGAGAGAGAAAACGUCUCUGCAGUCGUGUAGACUCUGAAUUUGUCAGAGAAACAAUCAACCAUCCAUUACCUGAACCACUUGAUGGUUCUGGGUCAGAUUGGUUGGAGCCAAUUGGGCGAGAGUCUGGGUUACACCUGGACUGGACGUCAUCACAGGUGUUGGAGCCAAAAUGCUUGUUUUUAUUGAUAAUUUGAAGAGUGUUCUAGCUUUCCCUCUGAUAACUUUCUUGCUGUGAGGAAGUUCCGGCUUCGACUUUUAUGAGUAAAGCUCCAAAUCAUUUCAAACGUUACUUCAACAUGGUUCACAAAAGAGACCCAUCAGGACUACAAGGACCCCUUUCAGUCUGAAUGUGUUGUUCCUGAACCUUUGUUUAGAAUAUCAUGAUAUUGAAAUGUUUCUCAUGUGGUUCAUAUGUUACAUGUAUUCAUCACCACAGACGGAUCUAAUGUGGAUUGAACUGAAGCUUCUGUUGUGUUCUGAUGGAUGUUGUUACAAAUCUCUGACCUUCAAUAUCUUUAUUUAUAAUGUUUAGAGUCUAAAUAAAUCCUCAUGAUCA